UAGAAAUAUAGUGGAGGCUAUCAGAAUGACAGGUGGUGCAUGGCUGUCGUCAGCUCGUGUCUUGAGAUGUUUGGUUAAGUCCCGUAACGAGCGCAACCCUACUCUUUAGUUAACCAGUUCUAAAGUGACUGAAUCGUAAGAUAUAGGAAGGUUGGGGCCAAGUCAAGUCAUCAUGCCCCUUAUGCCUCGGGCUGCAAACGUGCUACAAUGGUAGGUACAAUGUGUUGCAAUCUAGCGAUAGUGAGCUAAUCACCGAAAACCUAUCUCAGUCCGGAUAAAAGGCUGCAAUUCGCCUAUUUGA
rnacentral:rRNA from 1 species